UACACACACACCAACUUAUUUCCACUUGCAUGGUUCCACUUGCAUGGUUCCACUUGCAAGGCUUUAUGAAUUUGUUGAAAAAAUUUCCAAAUUUUUGUGGACUUAUCUUUUCUCUCUUUUCUCCCUAAAACCGGCCACCCUAUUAAAAUAGGGUAUUUUUGGGGCUUUUAUGCAAUUACAUAAAGUUUUGAUACUUUUGUG
rnacentral:lncRNA from 1 species